ACGAAGGCAAUUGUUCUCGCAAUUGUUCUGUCCCGCGUUGCAUUUUUACGCGUAUAAUUUGGUGUUAUUUCGGCCAUAUUAUUAUUGUUAUUGUACUUGUUGAUGAGAUUCUUAAUUAUUGUAUGAUCAAGAUACAGUAGUUAUCGUAUGAUCAAGAUUCUGGGUGAUUGUUGUGCCUUAUUGUUGAUAUGGGUCAUUAUUGUUGCCUUAUUGUUAUCGUUGAUACUGGCUAAUUUUCGUUUUAUCUGGGUUACUAUGGUUGAUAGUGGGUAGGUAUGGUUUGUUCAAGAUACUGAGUUAUUAUUGUUGAUUAGGAUGAUGGGUAAUUGUUGCAUACGAUUCUCUUCAGAAGAUGAGUUGAUGCCUUCCUUUGGGGAGCGCUCACUUGUGUAAUGAUUCCAUGCUUCUUAAAGUCUUUUUUGAUGUGUUUGUAGUAGCCUAUGUGUUUGGUUUUUGAUUUCUUGGCCUUCUCAUGAUGAUAUAAAUCUCAUGUUAUCUACUUUCGAAUCUUUGGAGCUCUUUUAUCAUCUCUUUAGACAAGGAACGAUAGGGGUUUGGGAAGUACUUUUCAGUUCACAAUUACUUCUGUUUUUUUUCCUCUAGUUUAUUGAUGCAUUAUUGUUGUUUAUUUGAUCAGGUAUGGGUAAUGACACUUGCUGUUAAUGUUACCUUGGUCUCAAUGUUAAGUCUUCAAUUUUUUUUUGUGAGAAAUCGUGUGUUUUGUCACACUCUGAAACCUAGAAAUUUCCUUUUGUUGAACCACAAUAUAGUAGAAUUGGAAAUUUUGUUCCCAAGCAUUGCCUACUUGGAUCUUCUAGUCUAGUGGAUCUAUCAGUUUGGAUUUGAUAUCUUGACUUCCAUCUUUAAUGCUAAUUAUGAUGUUGAUCAUGUGUCUCCUUGCAUCAACUUCUUUUGCCUUGUUAUUUUGUUUGGUCAAGAAUACAUAGAUUGACAUAUAGGUGCAAGUGGUUCUAAAGGAACAAGUGUCUUGCUAUGGUGUUUAUGGUAAAGAUGCGGCAGUUCCCAGGUCUAUGGUUGAAGGUUUUGGAGUGUUUAGUCCCCCAAAGCUCUGCUAAAAAAUGGUACGAAACGGAAGUUUGUGUAUAGUGUGUUCUACUGCCAGUUAGUUUUAGUUUUUAAUUCAAAAUUUUGUGAUUUUAAUGAUCCUGGUGUCUUAUGGUGUUAUAGGCACUGGAUAAAGUCACGAGUAAAUUCUGGAUCUUUUAUAGUGUUGUAAAGUGAUCUUCUGCUACUUAUCAUCUCGUUGUUUUCCCUUUUUUACCAUGCCAACUUGAUUUGUGUUCAUUAGUGAAUGAAUGUGUAAACCACGUAGUGACAGUACCAGAGUACUAGUUUUCGGAAAUCCUAAGGAUUGUAUCCAGUAUGCAUUUUGGUGCUCUUUGUGUAUUGAUUUUCUUGGUCUUUGCACUCCAAGAUGGAUAUUGUUAGGCUUCAGUCAAAAUGGGGGUUCUUGAUCUUGUCUCUCGCAUCUCUCGUGAUUUCUUAGGUGAUAUGGGAAACUUUUAAGGAUUGUAUCCGGUAUUCAUUCCUAUACAACUUUUUUAUUGGUCUUUUUUGUCCUGGCAGUCCAAGAUGGAUAUUGUUGGGCUUCAACCAUAAUGGGGUUCUUAGUCCUAGUGUCUUGCAUCUAUAGUGAUUUCUUAUGUGUUACGGGUUCCGUCAGCUUUGCACUUGACUGGUCCCUUCUUAUGGUGCUUGUAGUUGGGUCUUAACGAGUAGGGAAUUAUUUUUUUUUCAUGGAGGGGCUUUGCUUGGACAUUUGUGUUGGGGUUUCUAGGUUCAUAUAUUGUUAGUACUGAGAUACUCAUUUUUGUUUUUUCCCAAAUCAGAGUGGUCCCUAUUCUCUUUGUCAAAAAUUGUUGUUGUACGAAACUUGCAAAGCUAAGUUUUUCCUGCACACAAGGAACAUACGAUGAUCCAGUUGAUGAGAUUCCUGGUAAUUGAUGGGUAUAUGGUCUUAUUGACACCUGAUAAAUAGUCGAAACUGAAUCCUUGAUCUCUUGACAGCCCGGUCAAGUAGGUCCCUAUUAGACCCUCUCUUUUGGUGUUCUCUCUGCCUCAUCUUCUCUGGUUCUUUUUUCUUGCAUCACCCUGUUUGAUUUUUUUUUGUUGGAUGGAUGCCACUUGAGAGGACUAUAUCUGGAAAAUCUUGAACGUUGAUGCCUAGUGUCUGUUCAUGUGCACAGUAUUUCCUACUAGUCUUUCACUGUGAUCUGAAUAUCAUCACGCUUCGAUAGAAAGUUCUCCAAUUUUUUUCUUUGCCAUUUAUAUGCUUGCAUUGCAAUCUGAAUAUUUUCUGACUUUGAGGGAGGGUCUUUUCAAUCUUGUCUGGAAUUUUUUCUAGUGGGUUUUGUCAGCUUUGCAUGUAACUCUUCGUUCAUUCCUUAGCUUGCAGCCACUGGUCCUACAAAAAAUGAAUUCUUCUUUCAUGGAGGUACUUUAUUUGUCCAUAUGUGUUGAGAUUUCAUUGGUCAAUCUUCUAUGAGUAUAGAUAAAUUUCUUUUCCCUGUUGACUCCUUUGUCUUUGUCAUAACUACUGUUGUAUGGUAGUUUCUCAAUUAGAACAUUAUUUUCACCAGAGUGUGCUGUAAUUUGAAGCCAUGGACAUGGAGUUCUUAGUUCAGAUGCUUAUAUUCUUAUGGUGAUAACAAUUGAUAAGGUCUCUUAUGGUGAUAAUGUCUCUGACUCUCUGAUGGUUAUGGAUACCAUACUGUUGUAUGAUAGUUUCUCAAUUAGAACAUUAUUUUCACCAGUGUGUGCUGUAAUUUGCAGCCAUGGACAUGGAGUUCUUAGUUCAGAUGCUUAUAUUCUUAUGGUGAUAACAAUUGAUAAGGUCUCUUAUGGUGAUAAUGUCUCUUACUCUCUUGAUGGUUAUGGAUACCUGAUAAGUACUUGACCAAUUCUAGAUCUAUUGAUAGUGGCGUAAAUACUCCUGAACUUUUGUUCUUUUAAGUACUUAUCAAACUGCUCUCAUUUUUUUGUUGUAUCACUAUUUUUUUUGGUUGUCUGGAUGUGUUUAGACUAUUAGGUGAUGCUAUUAUUCAGAUUUUGAAAAAACUUGGUUAGCCAACACGUGGUCCUUUGCGUCUUUUUGGUCUUUUUGUCUUAGUUGUGCAAACUCAUCACUAUUGAUGCCACACCCAUCUCAGAUUCUCCAAUAAUACACUAAUUUUGGCAAAUUUGACACGCACCCAUUGACACUUUUGAAGACUCCGAGCAACAUAGAUUUUUGGUGCUUGUAGUGCAAUCUGGAUGUUUUUUGGGUUUUCACAAAAAGGGGGUUUAUAGUCUCAUCUAUGGAAUCUGUAGUGAUUACUUUGGUGGUUUAGGGUUCGUCAAGUUUGCUCUGAUUGUUCCCUUCUUUCAUAUCUUGCAGCCAAUUCCCAGGGCAGUGAAUUCUUCUUUUCAUGGAGAGGCUGUGUUUUGUCGGUUUGCAUUGAGGUUAGUCAAGUCGUUUGUCAGUAUGUAGAUUUUCGAAUCAAUUUUCUUCCCUAGUGUCCCUUUAUCUUUAUCAAAACUAGUGUUGUAUGGAAGUUUCUUAACUAGGACAUUAUUUUUCAAUGGUGUGUGUUGUGUUCUGCUGUCAUGAAGUUUAGUCCAAACGCUUAUGUUCUUCGAUCCUCCAAUUGAUGAGGUUUUCUAUGGCUUAUGGAUCCUUGAUAAGUACUCGUCCAAUUCUAUAUCUCAUUUGAUAGUGGCAUAAAACACUUCAUUACUUUUGUUCUAGCUACUUACUUAUCUUCUAUGCUUCCCCAUAUUUUUCAUUACCACACUGGUUUGUUUUUGGUUGGAUGGUGGUGUACUAGGCCGUGUGUUUGUUUGAUUGGAUGGAUGUGUAGUAGACCAUGUGGUGACACUAUUAUGGACUUUCAAAAUUUGAAAUUUCAUAGCUUGGUAAGAUCCUCUGCCAUCUUUUGGUCUUUCUGGUGCUUGCACAACAAUCUGGAAAUUGUCAAGGCUUUGACAGAAAGGGGUUUUCAGUCUCGUGUAUGGCAUCUCUAAUUCUUACUUAUGUGAUUUGGGGUUGUCAGAUUUGCACUUAACUGUUCCCUUCUUUCUGUUCAUGUAGCCAUGGUUACAGGGCAAUGAAUAUUUCUUUGUGUUUGCCUGCUUGUGGUGAGGUUCUUUCAGUUUAAGUUUUUAUGAGUAUCAUGAUUUUCGAUUAUGUUUUCUUCAGGAGUUUCUCUACUAAGAUCGUAUUUUUCACUAGUGUGUUGUUGUUCUUCUGCUAACGUGAAGUUUUUAGUCCAGACACUAUGUUAUUCGAUGAUCCAAUUGAUAAGGUCUCCUAUGGCAAUGGACCUUAGAAUUAGACAGUGCCAUUAAUGGUCCAUCUGGUAUUUUAGCAAUAGAUAUCUUGGUCAUUACGACUUAGUUUUUUUGUUUGGAUGGAUAUGUGGACUAGAUAAUGACAAUAUAGAGGUUAAGAUUUGGAGAUAUCAAAGGUUGAUAUCCAGUAUGGUAUCUUUGUACCCUCUUGGUCUCUUUGAUUCCUGCACUGCAAUUUUUAUUUAUUGGUCAAUGAUUCAACAAAAUGGGAGUUUUGAAUCUUGUCUAUAUGGCGUCUCUAGUGAUUUCUUAUAUGGUGUGGGUUUCAUUAGUUUUGAACUUGAUUGUACCCUUCUUUUUGCGCUUGCAGCGAUUGGAUCUUUCAGAGAAAUCAACUAAUAUUUUCAUGGAGCGGCUUUCUUUGUCCAUUUAUAACGAGAUUUCCGUGGUUCAAGCUUUUAUGAGUUCUGACAUUUGCAACUAAGAUAGUUUUUUUUUCCAUUAGUGUGUGCUGGUAUUCUACUGCCAUUUUGAGUGUUUAUUCUAGAUGAUUAUUUACUUUGAUAAUCUAGUCGUCGAAAUUCCAAAUACUUGAUGGUUAUGGUCUCAUGGACGCCUGAGAAGUACUAAUUUUUGGAUCUUUCAAACCUCAUAUAUGAUCCUCUCUUUUGGUGUUCUUGUUGCUUAUCUUCUGUACUUCAUUUUUCUUUAUUAUGCUAGCUUGAUCUUGUUUGUUGAAUGUGGAUGUGUUGUUACAGUUGAGAGGAAUAAACUUUGAUGAAGGUUGGUGGCCUGUGUGCAUUUCACUACACCCUAUUUGUUGGCCAUAUUGGUUCUUGCACAUCAGUCUGAAGAUUAUCGAGCUUUGAAAACAGAUGCUUAUGUUCUUUGGUGAUCCAACUGAUGAGAUCUCCAUGGUUAUGGACAACACUUGACAAGUGUAUGCAUACUCAAUCAUGUUUUUCAGAUGUCCCUGUAACACAUUCAUGUACAUCUCGUGGUGGGUGUGCAUCCCUCUGUGGACCAUGUUUCUUGCCAUUUUUGUGCAAUCUGUUUACUAGAUAUCACCAGGCAUCAGAACAGGGUACCUUGCAAUAUAAUCUUGUUUGGUAUCUCUACUGAUCUUUCAUGCGUAGUAUUUUCCACUUACUUGUUAUGUUCUUUUUGUGCAUGCAACGAUUGGUUCUUCCAAGCAUGAACUUCAACUCGGGUUUCUUCCUAAUCAGCAGGUCACUUUUCUCUGUCAAAACCUUAUGUUGUGUGGUAGUUCUCAAGAAAUGAUAAUAUUUUUCACUAGUGUGUGUUGUACUCUGCUGGCAUGAAGUUUUUAGUGUAGAUGCUUUUUCUUGGAUUUAUCCAAAUGAUGAUGAGAUCCUGAUUGUUAUGGACACCUGACAAGUACCCACGCUCAAUUUUAUAUCUUCUUAUGUCCCGUGUAGCUCCUUCAACUUCAUUGUUCGUGCUACUUAUCUUCUCUAUUUUUAUUUUCUUGUGCUUAUCCCGCUACUUGAUUUUGUUUGUUUGGAUGCAUGUUUGUAGACAACAUGGUGACCAGAUUUGGUAAAUUUUGAAGUUUGUCCUAGUGUGUCCUUCCCUUGUGCACCUAGUUUCUGUGCCAUUUUUGUGCUUGCGGUUGGACUGCAAUAUGGAUAUCACCGGGCACUGGCAAGGGAGUUAAGCAAUCUUUUCUGGCAUGUCUAGUGAGCUCUCCUAUGUUGAAUGGGUUUCGCAGCUUCAACUCUAAUUGUUCCUUUUUUUUGUGCUUUGCUGCUGUUGGGCAACUCUAAUUGUUCCUUUUUUUGUGCUUUGCUGCUGUUGGGUCUUUCAAGAUCAGAAAAGUCUUCCUUUUGUGGAGCAGGCUUGUUUUUCUUAGUGGUAGAGUUCCCUUACUUCAGGCUUUGUAUUAGUACCUAGGUCUUCGAUUAAGUUCUCUUCCCUCAUCAUACAGAUCCCCUUAUCUUGUUGGCGGAAGUGUUGUUAAGCAGAUGUCUUAAUUAUGAUAUCUUUUCCAGAUGCUUUUGAUUUGCGAUGAUCCAACUGAUCAAUUAUCUUAUGGUGUGAAUCUCUGGUAGGUACUCUUAGUUCUGGAUUUUUCCGUCAUCUACCUUUUGUGUUCUUGCUGCUUAUCUUCUCUGCUUCCAUUUCUAUUUGCUUAUCACACCAGUUUGAGCUUUGUCUAUUGAACGAGAUGUAUAUACCACAUACUGAACAAUAAUAGAGGAUUAAACUUGGAAAUUUAAAAGCUUAGUGUUCAGUAAGCUGGUCGUUUAGGUCCUUGCACUGCAAUCUUUAGGGCUUUGAGAAAACGGGGGUUCCUAAAUAUUUGCAUUAAACUGUUCUUUAUGUGCUUGUAGUUGUGUUCGUUGUGUUCUUAAAUAUCUAAUUUCUUCUUUUCAUGAAGCAACCUUUGUUGAUUAUGUUGAGGUUUCAUUUGGUUCUAGCUCCUGUAAGUGUUUGGUUUUCAGUUUGGUUCUCUUCUCUAAUAAGUAUUUAUCUUUUCUCACCACACACUUUUCAAAGUGGCGCUCUUCUAGUAAUUAGUCUGAAUUAAAAUUUUACAUGUCAGUGUGUUGCAGUACAUGGUCAUUUUCAUUCAAUUUUUGGUUCAUUUAUUGGGUGCAACAUCUGCAUCAUAGUCACUACAAUUUCCUGACUAAUUAUUGUUAGGUAAAUGAAACCUCUUUCAUUUUAAGAUCUCUUCCCUAUCUUUUUUUAAAUGUGUGUUUUAUAUAUUCAGACAGUGUAUCAUUUGUCGACCUGCUUCAGAGGCUUAGCUUUAUGUAAAACUUUAAUAUAAAAGGUAGCUCGCUCCUGCACACUUUUUUCUCCAUAAAUCAUUGCCAUUUGAACAGUCUUUGCACCAAAGACAGCAAUUCAUUGAAUCUAGAACAGAUCAAGUAAAAAAACAUGGCUCAUCUUUUGUGUGACAUAUCAUGUACAGUCUUUAUGUAUUUAUAUCACAAAAGUAACUAUUGUCUUUUGUGUAUAAGAUCUUCUCAAGAGAUACCCUUGUAAAUCCAUUACAUAUCAGAUCAUUGUGGAAGUUGGGAAUUUUUCUCUAUGAAUUUUGUUCUUCUAAAUACUCUUCUUAGAUGAGCUUUGUACUAUUUUCUUGAUAAGGUUGAAAUUGCCAUUGAUUAUAGGUAACUGUUGUUUUGUCAUUUUCUAUGUUCUUGAUGUAUGUUUAGUCAAAUGUCACUUCACUGAUUGUAUGUUUCCUAAAAUGUCACUUAACGAAUAAUUUGUGCAGCCAAUGUCACUUCACAAACUGUCACUGAUGGUUUCUUAACUUCGUUCUCGUCAUGUUCAAUUACCAGCUAAUUCAUUUCUUAUUUUAGAAAUUGUUCCUUGAUCCUUGGGUUUCUUAUAUUGUGAGGGAUUAGGAACGUUGCACAAGUUAAAAGGGGAUCUUCUAAGAAGUCCCACCCAGACCAAGUUAAGAAAGUUUUGAAAUGUGUUGUCGUCUUGCCUUCAUUCAUCAGUUGCAACUCUCGAUUCACCUCACUUUACAUAUGGUUCUUAUACUUUAGAUAUCAAAUGGUUAGAGGAAUUUACAUUUUUAUCAUUUUCCCUUGUAAUUUGUAUGAGUCUGUUCCAAUGUGCUUUAAUUUUAUCUGUUGCAUCACUAGAAACACAUUGGUAAAGAGGGAUCUGACUAUUAUUUCAGGCAUUCAGGUGCUUAGUAGUUGUCAUAUUUUUACAUAUGUGCUGAGGUUCCAUUAGUUCAGUCUUUUAUGAGUAUAGAUAAUUUUCAGUUCAGUUCUUUCCUAAUGACUUCUUUGUCUGUUAUAACUAAUGUUGUAUGGAAGUUUCUCAAUUAGGACAUUAUUUUCACCAAUAUGUGUUGUAUUCUGCUGCCAUGAAGUUCUUAGUCAAAACGCUUAUGUUCUUUGAUGAUUCAAUUGAUGAGGUCUCUUAAUGGCGAUGAGGUCUCUUACUCUCCUAUGCUAUGGACAACUGAUAAGUGCUUGACCAACUCUAGAUCUUUUGGUAGUGGUGUAAAAUGCUUCUUACUUUUGUUCUUUUAGCUAUUUAUCUUCCUCCAUCCAUUUUUUUCGUUAUCAUACUUGUCUUUUCUUUUUUGGUUGUAUGGUUGGGCUGACCGUGGACGUUCAGAUUUGAAAAUUUCAAAGCUUGGUUAACCAGUGUGAUCCUUUACCACUUUUUGGUAUGUACAGCAAUCUGGAUAUUGUUCGGGCUUUGAUGGAAGGGAUUCUUUUAGUCUUGUCUAUGACAUCUCUAGUGAUUUCUUAGGUGGUUUGGGGUUAUCAGAUUUGUUUUUAACUGUUCCCUUCUUUUUGUUGUUGCAGAACUUCAACCAUUGGUUGCAAGCUAGUGAAUUGUUCUUUUUACGGGUUGGCCGUGUUUGUCCAUUUGUUUUGACAUUUCUUAAGUUAAGUCUUUAUGAGUAUCGAUAUUUUCGAUUCAGUUGUCUUCCCUAAUGUUGAAUCUUUGUCAAAAUUACUGGUUGGUAAAGAGGGAUCUGACUAUGAUUUCAGGCAUUCACUUCUUAGGAGUUCUGUUGGAAUUUGUUAUGUAAUCAGGUUAUGGUUAGAACUUUCUUGUUUCUUACCUCCCCCAGAUGUGAGUAGAGCUGUUGGUUGGCUGCCUCUGCCUGAUGGUUAAGAGAUGUUGAUGGUGGGUCAAGGUGUGCAAGAUUUUUUAAUCAGGUCUUGCAUACUGUGAUGAUGAGAAUGUUUUGUCAAUUUUGAUUACACGAUCUUACGGGUUUCACAAAGUGGUAAUUUUCUUUGGUGGUUAGAAGUUAAUAUCUCUACGUAAUGUCGUACUUAUCUAUUUCAUCCCACUGCACUCUAUAAACAACUUUUCUUUGUUGGAAUGGGGAGGGCUGGCACCUCCAGUUCUUUUCUCCCUCCAAAUGUAUUAUUUGAUCCGGUGAGCUUAAAUUUUGUCCCAAAUGCAGGUUUCUGCUCCUUGGUUAUGCCUAUUUGAAGUUUGGAGGGAGGGGUCAAGGAUGUUUUUUAAGGUUUCUGCCAUAAUGCAACUAGUUUUGUGUUACCAGUGACGGUUGACGAGUUUUGGUUAUUUACUGAAUUGGAGGGGUCUUGAUUCAUUGAUGUUGUGUUGUAUCCAGAAGUUCUCUGAUUUCGCUAUAUAGUUAUGGAAUAUGAGGAGAUCUGUCAGUUAAAGAAAAGAACGUCUGGCAGAGUACUUGGCCUCCUAUGCAGGAAGUGAGACCUAAAGGGUAAUCUUAUAGUGCAGGAUAUCAUUUUUUGGGUUUUCUAAUUUAUUUUUAAGUUUGACUUGGCUGUAAGUUCUCACUUUCGUUAGUUUCUUGAGGCAUCCAAGGACUUCCUGGUUAGGUUGUACCAAUUCGUUUCUAGUUCUACCUGAGGUAAUGAUGGUAAGGAAAUACACAAUACAGUUUCUGUUUUUGGAAGUCAAUAAUCUUUGUAAUGAAGUAAGCCUCGUAUCUGAUACUUGCAACAUAUUAUUUUUUUCUUGCAUCUUCUCCUCUAGAACACUAUCUAGUAGCUGUUUUUAAGACUUCCCUUGUAGAUGUUGCAAUCUAUAUUCCAUGUUGUUAGGCGUCCAAAAUCAUGAAGAGGUCUCCCUACGAAGUCUUCUGGUUUUUUUAUCUACCCAUAAACUUUAAAUGGAGUAUGGGGUCUACGGUAGUGAAUUUUUUAUGUGUUAUCUACCAUCAAUAAUUCUUGGUUGGACAGUCAUGUCUUACUAUCCACCCAAUUAGUUAGAUAGGUUGAUGCACCAAGCAUGAGAAGGAAUGAUAUCAAGGUGUUUCUGAGGAGAAGUCUGUUAUAGUCAUUAUCUGUGGUUAUUAUUGUUCGACUCCUGCAUUUAGAGCAUUUAUUAUAUUUGCUUAUUUGGAUCUCUUACCUCUAAAACAACACUACAGAUGUGAGUGUGCUAUUUUUGAAGUUUUGGAAGGUAUUAGCAUCUUGUAGUAGCUAGGAUUCUUGGCUAAAGUUUGUCAUGGUAUUUCUAUUUUAAAUAUGGACACUGAAUGGGUAUUUCUGUUUUCUCUAAGUUCCAUUUGUCCAGAUUUGCCCAAAUGUGCCAGAUUAUAUGAGUGGGGUAUUUUUCUUUAAGCUCUAGUUGUCCAAUAUCGUCGGGUAACUCUGAAUGUGGUAAUUCCUCUAAGCUCCAGUUGUCUGAAUCAGCCAGUCAAGAAUUAUCAGCACAAAGAUGUUGCUUUGGAGUAACAGUGAGUGCAACUUUCUUCCUCUGUUCUCUCGAGUUCUUGUAGCUAUUUUGAUUUUGGAAUGAAGGACUUUUUUUGGCUUAAAUACACAAAGUCAGUUCCAUAUAAGCGGAUUUGCUCUACAAAAGUGGAGAGAAGUUGGGAUGAUGAUGAAUCGGUCCUUGUGGAUCAUGUUAAAUAGAAAAGGUCCUAGUAUGAUGUGGAGUACGUUAAAACCGAAAAAGGUCCUGGUAUGAUUACUUGGAUUCCUGUUUUUACAUUGACAUGUUCUAGUCAUCUUUGCAUGUUGAAAGCAUUUUAAUAUCUAUUUUGGAUUAACAUUACGUGUUCUUCUGAUUAUUUUGAGUGGGGGUGUUUCAACUACACUCGGGUGCUCUAGUCACUAAGUAGUGUCUAAUGUGCUUUCUAUGUGCACCUUUCAGUGCAUGGGAGGAUUCGUGUUCUAUUAAGGCGGCAAUGUCAGUGAUUGAGUAUUAAUUAUGAGUAAGAACAGAGUGAUCUCAAAAUAAUUGUCUCCUCUCACAUGUUCGAAAUGCAGUUACUGAAUAUACAUAAUAUUUUAACUAGUAUAGGUGUGAAAUAGCUUCCUGUUUUGGGUUGCUGAUGAGUUGUGUAUAUAUUUCUUUGUCUUAUCUCACAUGCUUAUUUGGUCCCAUUUGGUUUGGGAUUGGUAUAUAUGGAUAAGUAUCUUGGAUGUGAUAAAAGCUUGGCUUGAGUUCCAGGAAGCGAGGAAAUACUUUUUCUCAAACCAUGGACUAAAUGGAAGUUCAAUUCAGGAGAAGCACUUGAUGAAGCAUCCCGAAAUUUGGCAGAUGCGAGAACAGGGAAGGAACAAGAUUCCAUGUGUGUAGCGAUGAUAUUGGUGCAAAAAAGUUUAUAUCAUGGUUUAUAUUAUUCUCUCCUUCGUUGCUCCAGAUUUGGAGAAUCUACUCUUUUGAUAUUAUCUGUACUUUUAAUUGUUGAAGUUGCUAUGGAAUUGUGGAGUUCGCGAAUGUAACUCGUUCAUGGUAUGAAAUAUAUGUUGAAUUGUAAGAUAGAAUUGAUUUUGUAGUUGUGUUGGUUUAUUUGAUGCUACAUUUUGUGUUUA